rnacentral:rRNA from 1 species
ACACGGAGGGUGCGAGCGUUAAUCGGAAUUACUGGGUGUAAAGCGUACGUAGGCGGUUGGUUAAGUUAGAUGUGAAAGCCCCGGGCUUAACCUGGGAACUGCAUUUAAAACUGGCGAACUAGAGUUGAGUAGAGGGGAGUGGAAUUUCAGGUGUAGCGGUGAAAUGCGUAGAGAUCUGAAGGAACACCAGUGGCGAAGGCGACUCCCUGGACUCGAACUGACGCUGAGGUACGAAAGCGUGGGUAGCAAACGGGAUUAGAAACCCCAGUAGUCC